rnacentral:rRNA from 1 species
UACGGAGGGGGGCUAGCGUUGUUCGGAAUUACUGGGCGUAAAGCGCACGUAGGCGGCUUUGUAAGUUAGAGGUGAAAGCCCAGGGCUUAACCCUGGAAUUGCCUUUAAGACUGCAUCGCUAGAAUCGUGGAGAGGUGAGUGGAAUUCCGAGUGUAGAGGUGAAAUUCGUAGAUAUUCGCAAGAACACCAGUGGCGAAGGCGGCUCACUGGCCCGGUACUGACGCUGAGGUGCGAAAGCGUGGGGAGCAAACAGG